AGAGAGAUGUAGAGAGAGAGAGAGACAGAGAGAGAUGUAGAGAGAGAGAGAGAGAGACAGAGAGAUGUAGAGAGAGAGAGACAGAGAGAUAAAAGACUUGAUCAGACACAGGAAGACUGUUUCCACCCACUAUUAUCCAGAUAUGCUGUACCCAGUGGCUUCAGAGUGUCUGUUGUAGAGCUGCGUGGGCCAGGUUACAUAGAUAUUGUAGAGCUACAGAGUGCUAGGGGUUAGUGGGCCAGGUUAGGUAGAUAUUGUAGAGCUACAGAGUGCUAGGGGUUAGUGGGCCAGGUUAGGUAGAUAUUGUAGAGCUACAGAGUGCUAGGGGUUAGUGGGCCAGGUUAGGUAGAUAAUGUAGAGCUACAGAGUGCUAGGGGUUAGUGGGCCAGGUUAGGUAGAUAUUGUAGAGCUACAGAGUGCUAGGGUUUAGUGGGCCAGGUUAGAGCUACAGAGUGCUAGGGGUUAGUGGGCCAGGUUAGGUAGAUAUUGUAGAGCUACAGAGUGCUAGGGGUUAGUGGGCCAGGUUAGGUAGAUAUUGUAGAGCUACAGAGUGCUAGGGGUUAGUGGGCCAGGUUAGGUAGAUAAUGUAGAGCUACAGAGUGCUAGGGGUUAGUGGGCCAGGUUAGGUAGAUAUUGUAGAGCUACAGAGUGCUAGGGGUUAGUGGGCCAGGUUAGGUAGAUAUUGUAGAGCUACAGAGUGCUAGGGGUUAGUGGGCCAGGUCAGGUAGAUAUUGUAGAGCUACAGAGUGCUAGGGGGUAGUGGGCCAGGUUAGGUAGAUAUUGUAGAGCUACAGAGUGCUAGGGGGUAGUGGGCCAGGUUAGGUAGAUAUUGUAGAGCUACAGAGUGCUAGGGGUUAGUGGGCCAGGUUAGGUAGAUAUUGUAGAGCUACAGAGUGCUAGGGGUUAGUGGGCCAGCUUAGGUAGAUAUUGUAGAGCUACAGAGUGCUAGGGGUUAGUGGUCCAGGUUAGGUAGAUAUUGUAGAGCUACAGAGUGCUAGGGGUUAGUGGGCCAGGUUACGUAGAUAUUGUAGAGCUACAGAGUGCUAGGGGUUAGUGGGCCAGGUUAGGUAGAUAUUGUAGAGCUACAGAGUGCUAGGGGUUACUGGGCCAGGUUAGGUAGAUAUUGUAGAGCUACAGAGUGCUAGGGGUUAGUGGACCAGGUUAGGUAGAUAUUGUAGAGCUACAGAGUGCUAGGGGUUAGUGGGCCAGGUUAGGUAGAUAUUGUAGAGCUACAGAGUGCUAGGGGUUAGUGGACCAGGUUAGGUAGAUAUUGUAGAGCUACAGAGUGCUAGGGGUUAGUGGGCCAGGUUAGGUAGAUAUUGUAGAGCUACAGAGUGCUAGGGAUUAGUGGGCCAGGUUAGGUAGAUAUUGUAGAGCUACAGAGUGCUAGGGGUUAGUGGGCCAGGUUAGGUAGAUAUUGUAGAGCUACAGAGUGCUAGGGGUUAGUGGGCCAGGUUAGGUAGAUAUUGUAGAGCUACAGAGUGCUAGGGGUUAGUGGGCCAGGUUAGGUAGAUAUUGUAGAGCUACAGAGUGCUAGGGGUUAGUGGACCAGGUUAGGUAGAUAUUGUAGAGCUACAGAGUGCUAGGGGUUAGUGGGCCAGGUUAGGUAGAUAUUGUAGAGCUACAGAGUGCUAGGGGUUAGUGGGCCAGGUUAGGUAGAUAUUGUAGAGCUACAGAGUGCUAGGGGUUAGUGGGCCAGGUUAGGUAGAUAUUGUAGAGCUACAGAGUGCUAGGGGUUAGUGGGCCAGGUUAGGUAGAUAUUGUAGAGCUACAGAGUGCUAGGGGUUAGUGGGCCAGGUUAGGUAGAUAUUGUAGCGCUACAGAGUGCUAGGGGUUAGUGGGCCAGGUUAGGUAGAUAUUGUAGAGCUACAGAGUGCUAGGGGUUAGUGGACCAGGUUAGGUAGAUAUUGUAGAGCUACAGAGUGCUAGGGGUUAGUGGGCCAGGUUAGGUAGAUAUUGUAGAGCUACAGAGUGCUAGGGGUUAGUGGGCCAGGUUAGGUAGAUAUUGUAGAGCUACAGAGUGCUAGGGGUUAGUGGGCCAGGUUAGGUAGAUAUUGUAGAGCUACAGAGUGCUAGGGGUUAGUGGGCCAGGUUAGGUAGAUAUUGUAGAGCUACAGAGUGCUAGGGGUUAGUGGAUCAGAUCAGGAAGUGGCGUCACAGUUACACCAGGGUUUCUCAACCUCUUUUUUGAACCAAGGACUGAUAUUUUAAAUAGGAAGCUUAGAAAACCAGCAGCUCUUUCAAACUCAUAUUCUCUCUCUGGUGGCCUUGCUCAUGAUAACUUUUCCCUGUCUGUCCGUCUGUCCGUCUG